ACUCCUACGGGAGGCAGCAGUGGGGAAUAUUGCACAAUGGGGGAAACCCUGAUGCAGCGACGCCGCGUGGAGGAAGAAGGUCUUCGGAUUGUAAACUCCUGUUGUUGAGGAAGAUAAUGACGGUACU
rnacentral:rRNA from 1 species